UACAGAGGUCCCAAGCGUUGUUCGGUUUCACUGGGCGUAAAGGGUGCGCAGGUGGUCGGGUAAGUCUGAUGUGAAAUCCCACAGCUUAACUGCGGAAUGGCAUUGGAUACUAUUUGGCUAGAGGGUUGGAGGGGGGACUGGAAUUCUCGGUGUAGCAGUGAAAUGCGUAGAUAUCGAGAGGAACACCAGUGGCGAAGGCGAGUCCCUGGACAACUCCUGACGCUGAGGCACGAAAGCUAGGGGAGCAAACAGG
rnacentral:rRNA from 1 species